AAAAAUUUUGAUACGGUUGCAUAAUUUUCCGACCACUCUGUACAAAUGUGACUGGCGUCAUGACGAAGGAUGACUUUCAACAAGGCGCCGCACGUCGCGUUGAAGUCCUUUGUUCCAUUGCAUUCGAAGGAUAAAGGUUCGGAGACUUACAAUACUUCUCACGACUGAGCUUUCAUAGUUUUCUUCAGUACCUCCAGCCAGAUUUUUGAGAUAGUGACCGUGAGCGACCCUUACACGUUUGUCGGCUUAUUACCUUUAUAAGGAUUGGGAACUUUAGCCAUUAUUUACGAAAUAAAGUCCUUAACGCAGUUUGACACAUAUUUUUUUAAAGGACGCCCAGCAGUCCUAGGUACUAAAUAUAAUGACGCAAUAGCAUUUUAUCUGAGCAUUUAAUUCAUAUAUCGAUUGCAGAUAAAACUGGAGUACAAUUAAAUUAUAUGAAAUUUGAGGUUUCGAAGUUCUACGUCCCCCCGUGAUAUUCGGAGCGUGCAAGUUACAGCCACAUUACCAUUCAUUUUCAGAUUACGGGAAUGUGACCUUGUUCUAACGUUAUAUACAUUGACGCUAACGAAGAUCGGAGGGGAAUAGAGGAGAAUGAGCGUGGGUGCAUGGUGCUGGGCGACUCAAUGGUGCGCAAUGUUGGAGUAGAGCACACAUAUAUGACGGUGGAGUGUUUUCCGGGGAUUAGAAAGGAUCAGUUGCACAGUCCAGAAACUGUUAUUGUUCACGUAGCUGGAUACAGGAAGGGGAUUUUGCUGGGGAUGGACUGCAUCUGAAUGGACGAGGAAGGAGACGAUUUGAACAACUGUACGCUAGAGUUAGUGGACUUGAUGGUGGAGGAGCAGCACGAAGGAAGACGUGACACGGUUUGGUGGAUGGUACUCACAGAACGAGGACAACCAGAGAAACGCGGCAUUCAUCAACUGGAGAACAGAAGGUUUUGCAUGAAAUUACUCUCCGCCUGACCAUAACCGGGCUUCUGAUGCUGGCAGUUGCACCGCCUCCUCGCUGGGGCAGCAGGUAGCCCCCUGCACCUUCAACUCCAUGUGCUCGUGCAAGUUUGGGGGAGAAGACACCCGGGGAAUCCACUUCACCACCCCCAGAUCUCUGGUCAGCGCCAGGGACAUCAUCUGUGUCGGCGUUCCGUUUUCAAAACUGCCCGUUACUUUGAGCCAGAGUUCAUGAGAAGAAUCCUGUUGUUUAUGAACGUAGAUCAUUCGCACACAUUAUCUCAGCACAAGGAACAUCAGCCAUGAAGAAGGCAGCAGAUCUGGGGCAAUUAGGUGAUGCAGAGUUGCUUCACAUGGGUAAUAAUUCUAAACGUACUCUCUUUUACGUGUUUUGUUUAUGUACAGCCAGCAGACAUGCUACUGAGCAAUAACAUCGUAUCACUUGUCUUGUAUUACGACUUCUCACUCAUUUGACAUUGUCAUUCCUCUGUGAUUGAUGAGAGUGUGAUGUGUUGAUGUGUGGAAAAGUCUGAUCUAAUAGUGAAAUGAUCCAUUGUCAAUUAAGAUGCCACCAAUUUAGUCUAAAUAAAAUACAUUUACAUGUCAGAGAUUGGACAUUGUUAAAACCUUUAAUGAAUUUACGAUGAGAGAAGCAGAAGGGAAAAUUAAUUAAGUUACUGUAAAAUUCUAUAAUUAAUUACAGGAAAUACAAACAAGUGUCCUAGCAAUGGAGAUAUCCAGAAGGUCCCUUAGAAGGAUUAUAAAAUGAGCAGAACAUAAGGAAGAAAUGAAAAUCAUUUGGACUCCUAUAAAUAAGUAUAAUGUGCCAAAGAUACAGAUAAAUAACAAAAAUCUAGAUACAAAAAAAUAUUUCUUUCGAGUCACCUUCUCUGGAAGAAAUCCACCAGGAGCGCCCAAUCACAACAUAUCCUCAUUUGAAAUGACUGAAGGCCAUUAUCAACCACCUAUAUCUGCUGUACACAGAGUGUAUGUAUUGUAGCAGUUAUCAGGGGCAUUAUUCCGUCAUCUUGUCUGCGGUAUAAUACAGUGUGUCUCACUAAAUGCGGAAUCCACUAGGAGACAUGCCAGAGCAGCAGCAGGAAGCAAACUACCAGGAAAUGAGUUGGUCACAAUUUGAACAUAGCCAUCACAUGCUUGUAGUUUCAGCCAAGGUACAUGAGAAGAAUCCUGUUGUUUAUGAACGUAGAUAAUCCGCACACACUAUCUCAGCACAAGGAACAUCAGGCAUGAAGAAGGCAGCAGUUCUGGGGCAAGUUGAUGAUGUGGAGUUGCUUCAUAUGGAGAGCUAGGUUUGUGUCCUGUUUGCAGAUAUAUUUCUCUGCAGUGAAUUUUGAGAAUGUGCUGAAUUGGAGGUUGUUGCUGUUGUGUGCAGCCUGUGAGAGAUUUCAGAAGGCCUGUGCCAGUGUAAUUUUCAUCAUUCUGCACUUUGAAAGUGUGCGUUCUGUCUGAAAAUGAAAUUCUUAGCCACACCAGGACUCCAUCAAUUUACAGAAAGUUGUACCUGAUUCAUAUGAUGAUAUGACUCUUGGGUCUUGGUAUGAUGACAGUCAAGUCAGCAAUAUCAAAGUUGAGGAUGUCGGAGGUGUGAAAGUGGAGGAGGAUCCUGUCAUGAUAACAUUUCCAGUAAUAAUGGCAGAGCAUGAGCUCCUACGUCAAUUCCCAGAUUUCUACAUUAUUUUUGUAAGGUACGUAAUUAAAAUUAAUGUGUUCGUCAUGGUCGUAAUCAAGUGCAAAAUACAGGCAACUCUCGGUUUACGAACAUUCACUGUAACGAACGUCGCAAUUCAUUCAAAAAAUUUUAAAGUCGCCAAGAGUUCCUUAUAAAACGAGGUGCCAAACGUUCUAUAGCAAUAUAAUUGUAAGAUUUAAAUAAAUAAACUUUUAAAAAAUGUA